AGACCCGAAACCCGGUGAUCUAGCCAUGGGCAGGUUGAAGGUUGGGUAACACUAACUGGAGGACCGAACCGACUAAUGUUGAAAAAUUAGCGGAUGACCUGUGGCUGGGGGUGAAAGGCCAAUCAAACCGGGAGAUAGCUGGUUCUCCCCGAAAGCUAUUUAGGUAGCGCCUCGUGAAUUCAUCUCCGGGGGUAGAGCACUGUUUCGGCUAGGGGGCCAUCCCGGCUUACCAACCCGAUGCAAACUGCGAAUACCGGAGAAUGUUAUCACGGGAGACACACGGCGGGUGCUAACGUCCGUCGUGAAGAGGGAAACAACCCAGACCGCCAGCUAAGGUCCCAAAGUCAUGGUUAAGUGGGAAACGAUGUGGGAAGGCCCAGACAGCCAGGAUGUUGGCUUAGAAGCAGCCAUCAUUUAAAGAAAGCGUAAUAGCUCACUGGUCGAGUCGGCCUGCGCGGAAGAUGUAACGGGGCUAAACCAUGCACCGAAGCUGCGGCAGCGACACUGUGUGUUGUUGGGUAGGGGAGCGUUCUGUAAGCCGUUGAAGGUGGCCUGUGAGGGUUGCUGGAGGUAUCAGAAGUGCGAAUGCUGACAUAAGUAACGAUAAAGCGGGUGAAAAGCCCGCUCGCCGGAAGACCAAGGGUUCCUGUCCAACGUUAAUCGGGGCAGGGUGAGUCGACCCCUAAGGCGAGGCCGAAAGGCGUAGUCGAUGGGAAACGGGUUAAUAUUCCCGUACUUGGUGUUACUGCGAAGGGGGGACGGAGAAGGCUAUGUUGGCCGGGCGACGGUUGUCCCGGUUUAAGCGUGUAGGCUGACUUUCCAGGCAAAUCCGGAGAGUCAAGGCUGAGGCGUGAUGACGAGGCACCACGGUGCUGAAGCAACAAAUGCCCUGCUUCCAGGAAAAG
rnacentral:rRNA from 1 species